rnacentral:rRNA from 1 species
GAGUUGAUCUGCUCAGAUGACGCUAGCGACAGCCUACACAUGCAAGUCGAGGGGUACAUGUAGCUGCUACAGAUGACGACCGGCGCACGGGUGAGUAACGCGUAUGCAACCUACCUUUCACAGGGGGAUAGCCCAGAGAAAUCUGGAUUAAUACCGCAUAAUAUGAUUGAUUCGCAUGGAUUAAUUAUUAGAUUUUCGAAGGUGAAAGAUGGGCAUGCGUAGCAUUAGUUAGUUGGUAAGGUAACGGCUUACCAAGACGAUGAUGCUUAGGGGGUCUGAGGGGAUAGUCCCCCACACUGGUACUGAGACACGGACCAGACUCCUACGGGAGGCAGCAGUGAGGAAUAUUGGUCAAUGGACGCAAGUCUGAACCAGCCAUGUCGCGUGCAGGAUGACGGCCCUAUGGGUUGUAAACUGCUUUUUUACAGGAAUAAACUUUGCUACGUGUAGCGAACUGAAGGUACUGUAGGAAUAAGGAUCGGCUAACUCCGUGCCAGCAGCCACGGUAAUACGGAGGAUUCGAGCGUUAUCCGGAUUUAUUGGGUUUAAAGGGUCCGUAGGCGGGCCAAUAAGUCAGUGGUGAAAUCCCAGAGCUCAACUCUGGAACUGCCAUUGAUACUGUUGGUCUUGAAUUUAGUUGAGGUGGGCGGAAUACGUUAUGUAGCGGUGAAAUGCAUAGAUAUAACGUAGAACACCGAUUGCGAAGGCAGCUCACUAAACUAACAUUGACGCUGAUGGACGAAAGCGUGGGGAGCGAACAGGAUUAGAUACCCUGGUAGUCCACGCCGUAAACGAUGAUUACUCGUUGUGCACAAUACAUCGUGCGUGACUGAGCGAAAGCAUUAAGUAAUCCACCUGGGGAGUACGUUCGCAAGAAUGAAACUCAAAGGAAUUGACGG